UACAGAGGUGGCAAGUGUUGUUCGGAUUUACUGGGCGUAAAGGGUCCGCAGGCGGUCCUGUGUGUCGGAUGUGAAAGCUCACGGCUCAACCGUGGAAUUGCAUUCGAAACUACAGGACUAGAGUACAGGAGGGGAGAAGGGAAUUCAUGGUGUAGCGGUGAAAUGCGUAGAUAUCAUGAAGAACACCGGUGGCGAAGGCGCUUCUCUGGACUGAUACUGACGCUCAUGGACGAAAGCUGGGGUAGCGAAGAGG
rnacentral:rRNA from 1 species